UAAGAGUGUUUUAUCUUACCGUA
rnacentral:siRNA from 1 species